rnacentral:rRNA from 1 species
AGGAUGAACGCUGGCGGCGUGCUUAACACAUGCAAGUCGAGCGAAGCGCUUUGGAAAGAUUCUUCGGAUGAUUUCCUUUGUGACUGAGCGGCGGACGGGUGAGUAACGCGUGGGUAACCUGCCUCAUACAGGGGGAUAACAGUUAGAAAUGACUGCUAAUACCGCAUAAGACCACGGUACCGCAUGGUACAGUGGUAAAAACUCCGGUGGUAUGAGAUGGACCCGCGUCUGAUUAGGUAGUUGGUGGGGUAACGGCCUACCAAGCCGACGAUCAGUAGCCGACCUGAGAGGGUGACCGGCCACAUUGGGACUGAGACACGGCCCAGACUCCUACGGGAGGCAGCAGUGGGGAAUAUUGCACAAUGGAGGAAACUCUGAUGCAGCGACGCCGCGUGAAGGAUGAAGUAUUUCGGUAUGUAAACUUCUAUCAGCAGGGAAGAAAAUGACGGUACCUGACUAAGAAGCCCCGGCUAACUACGUGCCAGCAGCCGCGGUAAUACGUAGGGGGCAAGCGUUAUCCG